GAUUAAGUUAUUAAGGGCGCACGGUGGAUGCCUUGGCACUAGAAGCCGAUGAAGGACGUUACUAACGACGAUAUGCUUUGGGGAGCUGUAAGUAAGCUUUGAUCCAGAGAUUUCCGAAUGGGGAAACCCAGCAUGAGUUAUGUCAUGUUAUCGAUAUGUGAAUACAUAGCAUAUCAGAAGGCACACCCGGAGAACUGAAACAUCUUAGUACCCGGAGGAAGAGAAAGAAAAUUCGAUUCCCUUAGUAGCGGCGAGCGAAACAGGAAGAGCCCAAACCAACAAGCUUGCUUGUUGGGGUUGUAGGACACUCUAUACGGAGUUACAAAGGACGACAUUAGACGAAUCAUCUGGAAAGAUGAAUCAAAGAAGGUAAUAAUCCUGUAGUCGAAAAUGUUGUCUCUCUUGAGUGGAUCCUGAGUACGACGGAGCACGUGAAAUUCUGUCGGAAUCUGGGAGGACCAUCUCCUAAGGCUAAAUACUCUCUAGUGACCGAUAGUGAACCAGUACCGUGAGGGAAAGGUGAAAAGCACCCCGGAAGGGGAGUGAAAUAGAACCUGAAACCGUGUGCUUACAAGUAGUCAGAGCCCGUUAAUGGGUGAUGGCGUGCCUUUUGUAGAAUGAACCGGCGAGUUACGAUUUGAUGCAAGGUUAAGCAGUAAAUGUGGAGCCGUAGCGAAAGCGAGUCUGAAUAGGGCGUUUAGUAUUUGGUCGUAGACCCGAAACCAGGUGAUCUACCCUUGGUCAGGUUGAAGUUCAGGUAACACUGAAUGGAGGACCGAACCGACUUACGUUGAAAAGUGAGCGGAUGAACUGAGGGUAGCGGAGAAAUUCCAAUCGAACCUGGAGAUAGCUGGUUCUCUCCGAAAUAGCUUUAGGGCUAGCCUCAAGUGAUGAUUAUUGGAGGUAGAGCACUGUUUGGACGAGGGGCCCCUCUCGGGUUACCGAAUUCAGACAAACUCCGAAUGCCAAUUAAUUUAACUUGGGAGUCAGAACAUGGGUGAUAAGGUCCGUGUUCGAAAGGGAAACAGCCCAGACCACCAGCUAAGGUCCCAAAAUAUAUGUUAAGUGGAAAAGGAUGUGGCGUUGCCCAGACAACUAGGAUGUUGGCUUAGAAGCAGCCAUCAUUUAAAGAGUGCGUAAUAGCUCACUAGUCGAGUGACACUGCGCCGAAAAUGUACCGGGGCUAAACAUAUUACCGAAGCUGUGGAUUGUCCUUUGGACAAUGGUAGGAGAGCGUUCUAAGGGCGUUGAAGCAUGAUCGUAAGGACAUGUGGAGCGCUUAGAAGUGAGAAUGCCGGUGUGAGUAGCGAAAGACGGGUGAGAAUCCCGUCCACCGAUUGACUAAGGUUUCCAGAGGAAGGCUCGUCCGCUCUGGGUU
rnacentral:rRNA from 1 species